UUAAUUCCAGUUGUAUUUGGGUGAAUAAAACCGUUACUUCAAAUUACGAUGCUAACUCGUCCCACGAGAGUUUCCUUCUUGGGGUAACGUCUUAUCGUGACCUCCACCUGUUCUCAGUCCAGCAUCAAGCAACAUUCCAAGAUGGAGGACAAGAAGAGGAGGAGGAGGGAGAGGGAGAGUGUCAGAGAACUGGUUCUGUUGUUUUACUUGUCACUAUAAACAGAUCUGUUCUAUGAGCAAGAGACAGAUAACGUCAAUACUGUCAAAAGCACAACUUGGCUCCAGUCUUGAUACACUAACAGUACUUGGUUCUCAUAAAGGUGAUGUCAUUCUCCUAGCUAAUAACAGUUCUUUAAUUCACCUCACCCUUCACUCCUCCUCAUCCCACCAACAGUCACUGGUCUUCUCUUUAGUCUUCAGUAUAGAGCCGAACAUGGAGUCCUUCCAGUAUGAUGACACUCUUCCACAAUAUGUCGGGAAGUUGAACGACGUCCUUUUUAAUUGGCUGCUGCUGUUCACUCUCAGUGAGGACGGGAUUGUUGGUCUACAGUGUCUCUAAUGCUAUGAUCAUUGCUGCCAUUCAUCCACUGGAAUACUGUAGAAUGUUUAGCUCCAACACUCCAGAUGGUCCUUCUCUCCUACAAACCCUGUCCUUGUCUUCAUUUCAUAAGAUCUUAGUCUCUCCUGAUUUAAUGAAACUCUGUGUCUCCACUAAAACCCACCACAUCAUUGCCGUCGAUUUAGGGAUUUAUUUUGCCAUGUUCUCAUCACAUUAUUCUAAAAAUUUCCGUCAAAAGUUGACCAAGAGGACCCCGCCCACCCAGCGGCCCCAGGACCCGCAUAUCAGCCAAGAGGAGGAGCUAGAGAGAGGGAGGUACGGUGGACUGACAAGACGAGAAAAAGGAACAAAAUAUGUCAGACCUUUUGUCAGCCAUUUUUUCGUUGCUAAGCGAUGCAGUAGACUAAUGAGGAACAUUGAUAGGAUGAAUCUUAAUGAAGGGUAUGGCCUCUCACUAGUUGGGGUUUCUAAACUACCAAAAGAACAUGACAAACCAGUCAGACCGGUUUCAGGUGACAAGUGGUACAUGCCUAGUAGAGGGGCAUGGCUUGGUAAAUGAGUGGGCGGAGACUGGGAGGAGUCUAGUAAUGUUUGUAUUACUAGUAUGAGAAAAACUAAACCACUGAAUAUAUAACAGGAGGACAUGUCCUGGAGCCACACCCACUCCGGCACUAGUUACCCCAUACAGUGUAUACUCCCUCCAGCUGAAGGUCAUGUGAUCAGUGACUCCGCCCUAUUGUACCCCCACUAUAAUAACAGAUUGGUAAUAGCAUAUUAUGAUAAGAAUGGGAAUGGAAAAACAAGGAAUGAAGAACAGGAACCAAAAACUACCAAUUUAAUUGUCAUUUAUAAGGCUUCUGAGAGAUACUAUUCAUUAGCCAAUUUUUCGUGUCGGAACUGGUUGAUCCUGCCUACUAAUGAGGACAAACCGGUUUAUCUGGUUUCUGAUAGUUUACUAUCAGUGUCGGCUUUCCUUUUAUCACAAGAAGACUUUGUAGCAAAAGUGUUAAUGUAUGGUAGUGUGUCAGUAGCUGAGGAGGUGUGUCACUUGAACCGCUGGGACCAAUGUUCCCUCCCUCUCAAUGCACUGGAGACUGGACUGGAACUGAGGCAGUUGGACAUAGUGUCAUUCUUCCUUAGGAACAGAGGUAAAGGAUAUACUAUUUAUAGUAACACUAAUACUAUUUAUAAUAAUGAUAAAUGAUG